rnacentral:rRNA from 1 species
GACGAACGCUGGCGGCGUGCUUAACACAUGCAAGUCGAACGGAAAGGCCCUGCUUUUGUGGGGUGCUCGAGUGGCGAACGGGUGAGUAACACGUGAGUAACCUGCCCUUGACUUUGGGAUAACUUCAGGAAACUGGGGCUAAUACCGGAUAGGAGCUCCUGCUGCAUGGUGUGGGUUGGAAAGUUUCGGCGGUUGGGGAUGGACUCGCGGCUUAUCAGCUUGUUGGUGGGGUAGUGGCUUACCAAGGCUUUGACGGGUAGCCGGCCUGAGAGGGUGACCGGCCACAUUGGGACUGAGAUACGGCCCAGACGCCUACGGGAGGCAGCAGUGGGGAAUAUUGCACAAUGGGCGGAAGCCUGAUGCAGCAACGCCGCGUGCGGGAUGACGGCCUUCGGGUUGUAAACCGCUGUCGCCUGUGACGAAGCGUGAGUGACGGUAAUGGGUAAAGAAGCACCGGCUAACUACGUG